AGAGUUUGAUCAUGGCUCAGGAUGAACGCUAGCGGCAGGCCUAAUACAUGCAAGUCGUGGGGCAGCGCGGGUAGCAAUACCUGGCGGCGACCGGCAAACGGGUGCGGAACACGUACGCAACCUUCCUUCGAGUGGGGGAUAGCCCAGGGAAACUUGGAUUAAUACCCCGUAAUAUUAUGAAGUGGCAUCACUUUAUAAUUAUAGCUACGGCGCUUGAAGAUGGGCGUGCGCCUGAUUAGGUAGUUGGCGGGGUAACGGCCCACCAAGCCUACGAUCAGUAACUGGUGUGAGAGCACGACCAGUCACACGGGCACUGAGACACGGCCCAGACCCCUACGGGAGGCAGCAGUGGGGAAUUUUGGACAAUGGGCGCAAGCCUGAUCCAGCCAUGCCGCGUGAGUGAAGAAGGCCUUCGGGUUGUAAAGCUCUUUCGGCCGGGACGAAAAGGUUCGUGAUAACACCGCGAACUCAUGACGGUACCGGAAGAAGAAGCACCGGCUAACUACGUGCCAGCAGCCGCGGUAAU
rnacentral:rRNA from 1 species